CAUCAGCAAUUUACUACAGCUCAGAAUUUGAGUCAGAUGCAUUGGAUUUCAAAGGUAAAUAGAAAUCUGGUUGGACAACUUACAUCUUAAAGAAAAGGAAAAAAAAAAAAGAACAGAGAGAAUGAAGAGGGAGAGAGAGAGAGAGAGAGAUGAAAACAACAGUAUGUUGCCCCAGGGGGAAUCUUUUGAUUUGCAGCUUUCAAAGGCAACAUCUGUACUCAUCAGUUUUGAAUGGACUUGUGUUAUUCUCUCAAGUUCCCUAUAAUCAGUCUUUCACACAGAAAAAUAAGGAGAAAUCCACCAAAAGCAGUGGAAUCUGGUCCCUUGGUAUAUCUGGAAGGUAUACAACAGCACUCCCACUAAGGAAAGUCAUUCCCUUCCAUACAUCAGCCUGAAACAGCAUUUAACAACCCGUGUUCGGUUCCUCCGCCUGUCCCCACGCUCCCAAAGUCUCUGAAAUCUACAGCUAAGCGAUUGCAAGUUUAUGUGCCUUGACCACUGCUUUUAAAAUACCCCCUGGUUACGAAAAGUGCUCCAUAGACAGAAUCCCGAAAGAACCCAGGUUAUAAAGAAUACUCUUUCUUCCUGGGAAUAAAGCCGAGGGAGGAAAUACUAUCAGCUUGGCAUAAUCUCAAGCUAAUUAUGAAUUUGGCUUUGGCUACCUAGUCCAGAAAGGUUUCUGCAGUUGGCACUGGUUACGCAUUGAGCCAGCUGGAGUCUGUACAAGGGGGAACAGUCCCAUCAAGUUUGGGAACCAGAAGGACCAGGCUGGCCUAGCUGGGCUGCUGUCCUCUAGCCUCUCCCAAAUGAUGGCCUUGGGAUCUCUUUAUUGCCUUGUGUGGAGACAGUCCUCAUAGGAUGCUCUUACCAUUAGCACAGACACACCAUUCCACCUGCAGGUGGCUCAGGUGGAUUUUUCUAGGCUUUUCUGAGAAGAACGCAGGGAAGUUUUUCUAGAAGGACAGCUCUCUGGUGGAGACAAAGUGUCUGCAAGGCAGUGAGGGGAGCGCAAACAUACAUGAGAGUUUUCAGUCCAGCGAUGGAGAAAAACUAGCUUGGUAAACAGAAGUUUGAGUAGUCCCAACUCCCUACGGUCUUGAAUACGAAGCUCUGGGCAGGAUGUGAUACCUGCAUAAAAAUGAGAAAUUUUAAAUGGUUUGAAAAGGUCACGAAGAGAUAACACCGUGAGGACGCAGUGGCUAUGUAUGUCAAACGUGAGUGACGUCGUGCUUGCUUCGUUCGGCAGCACAAACACUAAAGCAUGAUGACCUCCACCGUCAUUUAAUCAUACUCACAAGAUUGAAAAUUGGAGACAACAGAGAUGCCCAGCAAAGAGGGUUGGGGUGGGCAAACCAAUAAUGGUCUGAUCGUGCUGCCAUUGAAAAUGUUUUAGAGGACAGUGAGCA